rnacentral:rRNA from 1 species
AGUGAACGCUGGCGGUAGGCCUAACACAUGCAAGUCGUACGGCAGUACAGGAGAGCUUGCUCUCUGGGUGGCGAGUGGCGGACGGGUGAGGAAUACAUCGGAAUCUACUCUGUCGUGGGGGAUAACGUAGGGAAACUUACGCUAAUACCGCAUACGACCUACGGGUGAAAGCAGGGGAUCUUCGGACCUUGCGCGAUUGAAUGAGCCGAUGUCGGAUUAGCUAGUUGGCGGGGUAAAGGCCCACCAAGGCGACGAUCCGUAGCUGGUCUGAGAGGAUGAUCAGCCACACUGGAACUGAGACACGGUCCAGACUCCUACGGGAGGCAGCAGUGGGGAAUAUUGGACAAUGGGCGCAAGCCUGAUCCAGCCAUACCGCGUGGGUGAAGAAGGCCUUCGGGUUGUACAGCCCUUUUGUUGGGAAAGAAAUCCAGCUGGCUAAUACCCGGUUGGGAUGACGGUACCCAAAGAAUAAGCACCGGCUAACUUCGUGCCAGCCGCCGCGGUAA